rnacentral:rRNA from 1 species
UACGUAGGGUGCAAGCGUUAAUCGGAAUUACUGGGCGUAAAGCGUGCGCAGGCGGUGAUGUAAGACAGUUGUGAAAUCCCCGGGCUCAACCUGGGAACUGCAUCUGUGACUGCAUCGCUGGAGUGCGGCAGAGGGGGAUGGAAUUCCGCGUGUAGCAGUGAAAUGCGUAGAUAUGCGGAGGAACACCGAUGGCGAAGGCAGCCCCCUGGGCCAAAACUGACGCUCAGGCACGGAAGCGUGGGGAGCAAACAGG